GAAGUGGUCGGAGCUAAGUAGGCUUCUGCGGAUCAUCCGAUUCCGGAGCAACAUUUACCUGUUAUUCCUGAGUAAAUUGAGGAUCCAAGUAAGGUCGUGGUCCCUGCGAAAAGCGUCACCGUUACCUCCUGCUUCUCACGACUUCCGGGAUCCUGGUUUUCCUUCCAACAUUUUCAAUAUAUCAUGCCCAUCCUCUUCCGGCCUGCAAAGUUUCUGCUGCAAUCAGCUCAUGGCCUUAUGGGAGUUCCUUUGCAUCAGCACUUAAGGAUUCUUCUAGAACAAUGGGAUGAAGACAGAGCAGCAGGAGAACUAGUAAUACUGGUGGCGAUUAUGGAAAUAAUGCAUUAGAGGAUCCCAGCAGGAGAAAGGGACCAGGACCGCACCCGAGGCAUCUGGAAGUUCCCAGCCCUGGAGUCCAAUCAGAGCUACAGCUGUUGACCUACUGCACAGCUCACAGCAAGGCCGGAUCCCUGACCCAUUGAGCAAGGCCAGGGAUGGAACUGCAUCCUCAUGGAUAGUAGUCUGAUUCAUUCCUCUGCGCCACAGUGAGAAAUCCAUCAUGGUCUUUAUAGAAAAGUUUUAUUUCUUCAUUAAUUUAGGAACAUUCACACACUACAAAGGUUUAGAGACUAAACUUUAGGGCCACCUCUUUUCUUCAAGGAGCUCAUAUUCCAAUGUUGAUAAACUUUGAAUAUGAUAAAUGGCUUUAAAAAUCUACUGAUAGAGAUGCAGUGAUUUGUUAAGAAUAGAAGAUAAUUUUACACUCACUGAAUCAGGGUUGGCCUCACCCAGAAAUGGAGUUUGAAGAACAGCUGGGGCAGGGGCAGAGUUUGAACUUGGGGAGUUAAAGAAGGGGAAACACUCCAGCACAGAGGCCAGGAAUGAGUUCAGCCCGGCAGUUAGUACCAGGAAGUCAAGCCAAAAAUGUGCACUGGAGCCUGAUGAGAGUAAUUCUUAAAUCCUAAAUAAUAAAUAAAAGCUUCAUGUCAUUUCUUUGAGCAAAAUUUAUGGAGUGCCUGCUAUAUUGCAGGCAGUUUUAUCAGCUAAUGAUACCAAGAUAAAUAAACUCAACCCACUGCUGAGAAUCUGGCUAAGCUAUUCCACAGUACCACUGCUAGGUAUGCAUUCUGUGUGGUUGGGUGGCCUUCAUGGGGCCUUGAACUGACACCAGCCCCUCAUGGGAAGGAAGAGCAUGCCCAGGGUCAGGUCACACACAAAUGGACAAAUGGACAUUCUAACGUUACCCCCAGAAGCCUUGUGACCAGGAAUCUCCUUCUUCUGUUUUUUUUUUUUUAAUUUUUAUUUAUUUAUUCAUUCAUUCAUUUAUGUAUUUAUUACUUUUUUUUUUUGCUUUUUAGGGCCGCACUUGUGGCAUAUGGAAAUUCCCAGGAUAGGGGUUGAAUCAGGGCCACAGCUGCCGGCCUGUACCACAGCAAUGGGGGAUCCUAGCCAUGUCUGUAACCUAUACUACAGCUCACCACAAAGCCGGAUCCCUGAUCCACUGAGCUAGGCCAGGGAUCAAACCUGCAUUCUCAUGGAUACUAGUUGGAUUCGUUUCUGCUGCACCACAACAGGAACUCCUGGUACUGCUUUUUUAUAAACAGGAUCAUCAGGGAAGUCCUUCCUGAUGACAUCUGUGGUACUGGAGCCCAGAGCUGAGUUACAGGAAUGGCUGUGCAGAAGCCAUGGCAGGGAUGAGCCAUGACACUAUGGCCAUGGGCUCCAGGAACCUGCAAGGCAGCUGGAUGCCUGCACAGGUCCUGAAAAGAAGAAAAGUGAUUUACUCCAGAGGUGGUCAGAAGGGAGGACAGUAGCACUCAAACCAAGGAAAAUUAAUUCCAUGAUCUGACUCCCAGAGACAGCUGAUGUGUUGACAGAAUUUAAGAAGGAGGUCACUAGGGACCUUUCCCAGAAUUCAGGGGGGAGCAGGGUGUUAAAAAUAGAUGGGAGGAGGAGUUCCCGGUGUGACUCAGUGGGUUACAAACCUGACUAGUAUCCAUGAGGACUUGAGUUCAAUCCCUGGCCUUGCUCAGUGGGUUGAGGAUUCCACAUUGCUGAGGCUGUGGUGUAGGCUGGCAGCUCUAGCUCCGAUUAGACCCUUAGCCUGGGAACUUCCAUAUGUCGCAGGCUCUGCCCUAAAAUGCCAAAAAUAAAUAAAUAAAAAGGGGAAAAAAAACAAAAAUAGAUGGGAAGAAAGGAAACAGCCACUUUUUCAAGAAAUGUGGCUGUGUGGGGAAGGACAUGGCUGGUCACCAGAGAGCACUAUGGGGUCAAGGGUCUAACUCUUUUCUUUUUUAAAACGUGAACUACAUCUGUUUUGAUAUACUGAUUGUGAGGAAGAAAGGGAGUAGUAAUUGGAUCAAGGUUCCAGAGGCGUGGAGACGUUAGCAAUACCCACGGGAAGACUCUCUUAAUGAAAGACUAGGGAGGGAAAAUAGAAGUGCUGCUGACAUGGAUGUUUGCAAUUGAAGGGCAGGGUCUGAUUUUGAAGCUUGAUCAUCUCCAUUUUCUCUGGGAAGAGGAAUUCUCUCUUGCUAUGAGUUUGGAUAAUGAGGUUUAAAAGUUUAAGGAAACUGGAAGUCAUUAAAGGUUUGAAGUCUAGCUGCCUGGGAAUGAGAGUUGCCUCAAAGUAGGAAGAGUCUUUCGCAGACAGCCCUGCUGUCACUGAGAGGAAAGGCUCUCCUCUAGUGGAAAUGCUGUGCUGAAGGCAGACGUAGCUUUCCCUUAAGCCAAGGGGGCAGAUGAAGUGAGGAGGACACGGUGCUAGGACAGAAUCCAGGGCACUAGGACAGAGCAGAAAAGGUGUGCAGGCAGGAGGGUGGAGGUUUUGAUCAGAGGGCUCAGAAGCCCCUGACUUUAAGGGAGUAAGAAUAAGGCAGAAAAUAGAGAAGUAGAAGCUCAUUUGAAUGAGAAUCAAGAAUGAUGAGGGUAUUAGCUGGUCUCAAUUUAAAUUACUGUAUUAAAAGGUACCUUUACCGGAUUGUCCGGAGUGUCCGCUGUGGCUCAUGAGGAUGCGGGUUUGAUCCCUGGCCUCAUUCAGUGGGUUAGGGGAUUCAGCAUUGCCUGUACGUCACAGACACACAUGUGGCUUGGAUCCCACGUUGCUGUGGCUGUGGUGUAGGCCGGCAGCUGGAGCUCCAAUUUGCCCCCUACCCUGGGAACUUCCAUAUACCGCAGGUACAAAAAAAAAAAAAAAAAAAAAAAAAAAGUACCUUCAGCAAAAACAUUUCCAUUGCCAUUAUUUUUGGGAAAGGAAAGUGGGCAAAGGGACGAGGGAGGGGGGUGGAGGGAUACUUCAGACUUCACAUUCUUCCAGACUGUCAGGGAAGAUGUCAUGCCAUGAACAUAUACUAUAAUGACUAUUAAAAAGCUGGAAAGAGGAGUUCCCAACUUGGCACAUCGGAAACGAAUCCAACUAGGAAUGAUGAGGUUUAAGCUUCCAUCUCUGGCCUCCAUCAGUGGGUUAAGGAAUUGGCGUUGCCAGGAGCCGUGGUGUAGGUCACAGACAGCUCAGACCGGGUGUGGCUGUGGCUGUGGCUGUGGCAUAAGCCAGCAGCUACGACUCUGAUUAGACCCCUAGCCUGGGAACCUCCAUAGGCCAUGGGUACAGCCCUAAAAAGACAAACGACAGAAAAAAAAAA
rnacentral:lncRNA from 1 species